AGUAAGGAAUAUUGGUCAAUGGACGAAAGUCUGAACCAGCCAUGCCGCGUGGAGGAUGAAGGUCCUCUGGAUUGUAAACUUCUUUUAUAUGGGACGAAAAAAGGCUUUUCUAAGUCGUCUGACGGUACCAUAUGAAUAAGCACCGGCUAACUCCGUGCCAGCAGCCGCGGUAAUACGGAGGGUGCAAGCGUUAUCCGGAUUCACUGGGUUUAAAGGGUGCGUAGGUGGAUUGCCAAGUCCGUGGUGAAAUCUUCGAGCUUAACUCGGAAACUGCCAUGGAUACUGGUAAUCUUGAAUAUCGUGGAGGUUAGCGGAAUAUGUCAUGUAGCGGUGAAAUGCUUAGAUAUGACAUAGAACACCAAUUGCGAAGGCAGCUGGCUACGCGAAUAUUGACACUCAGGCACGAAAGCGUGGGGAUCAAA
rnacentral:rRNA from 1 species